AAAGGGAGGACCAGCCCAGAGCGGCUGAGGUAAAAAUCACACGGGCACGCGGGCACACACAAUGGAAACUGAGAUGAGAAAUCUGGUUGCCCUGUGGAUCUCUCGGCCAUCUUGCUCCCCGGCACUUCCAUCCUUCCUUCCUUCCUCCCUCACAUCCCUAAGCAGCUGAGACCGCUGUUAGUCUGAGCGGAAGCCAGCCAAGGCUGCAGUUUUUCUCUGCCGUCCCUCUGCUCUCCCUCGGGACCGAGGGAGUCUACGUGUUUCUGUGACAUCACCCACUGGUGUCUCUGGGCCAACGCUUCUUGCCUACCGUCACGCCAGCCAGACGGGCAGAGGGAUUAACAGCAGAGGUUCGGGUACGGGGCCCUUGACCACGAAGGCCUUCGACAAGGAACAUAAGGCUGCCACAGUUCCAACAGCCGGCUACGUUCUGCUCUCUAAUACAAAACUACAGACGUCUUAACUAAGGAUUAUUCACCUUCAGACUACACUAUACUUUUUGGGCUUGCCAGGCAACAACGCCUCUAUUACUGUAAUUUCCCAUCCCUCAAAAAAACAAAAACAACAACACUGCAAUCCCCCUUAGACUAAUCAACUUUAUCUUGAUGCGGUGUUUGUUUCUUGAAGCUUCUAUUUACUUCAAAGGCUAAACAAGAGUUGAUGAGAGACCAGAGACCUGCUAAAUCAUUAGACACCCAAAAAAUGAAAAAAAUCCAGGGAUGUAGUUUAUUAAAUCAAUCCCGUCGAUUUUUCCCAGCCCGGCCUUCCUGGAGCCUAAGAUUCCUCUCUGCCCCAACUUCCAGAGCCCCCAAACGCCCCCAAAAAGGUUGAAACGUCGCAUCCUCCGGAGGGAGAAGAAGUUCCUGGGCCGUCCUUGAAGAAAUGUCAAGUUGGUGGCUGCCGCGUGAGCGCUUCCUUGUGCGGGGGUGGAAACUCUUUGUUUUUCCCUGGAAGCCGCGAUCCCAAAUUGUUCCCUCUCCCUCCCUGACAUGGAGGGGUUCGGCUGGUUCUUCCGGAUGCUCCAUUUUCCUCCUCUCCGAGCCCCCCUCGUCCUCUUCCGCCUUCAUCCACCGCCUGCUCCUCUGAGGGACUAUUUGGCUCGAUGCUGUUGUA